CCUUGGCUUAUUUCGAAGAACUGAAACCGAGCCGGGAGACGGGUGGAAGGAGGAAAGAAAAAGAAGCCUUUGGCCUCAAGUGUGAACAUUUGACGGUUCUCUCUGUUUUUCAUCAACUGACAAGUUUAAUUGCAGUGCCUGAUUCAUGAAAAAACACAAUUUUCCUGGAAUAUGAGCUGCCUUGGAGAACAGAUGGUAAGUCUCUUUCUCUAGCUAACUCCGAGUGUUCCAGAGGAACUGUGAGGCAUCUCAGAGGGGAAUAUUAGAUUAACUAGCAUCACUGGUAUGUUAAACACCAUGGGAAGCAUUAUCAAGUGAAUGAGAAGCCUUCUCAGAUUAUACUGGGAUGGAUAUUAUUAAUAGAGAUUUGCUAAAAAAAAAAAAAAAAAAGAAAUUCCUACAAACCUGGUAGGUCCCAAUGUCAUAAUUAGGACAUACCAGGGCAUGCCAAGUUUUACUACCAAGUCAUAAAUCUGGUUAUUGUAACCAAGUUUCUUAACCCAUUACAUUCUGCUCAGUUGUAUCACUAUAUCUUUCAGUCUUUAAGUCAGUCACACAUAGUUAUUGUACUCUGAUGGUUUUGCAAAAGGUCUUCAUCUCCAACAAGAUUCAUAGGAGAGAGCAUUCUGACAAGCAGUGAUGUCUGAUCAGUUUACAUUAUACCAGGCAGCUAACUGGAUAAGAUAUUUUAAAAUCCCAAUUUAAAAAACCUGCUGCUAUUAUAAAAGUAUUUAACAAAAGAUGAAAUACUGAGUCAACUUGUAAAUAUAGUUUUAAAGUUUAUGGGUUAUUAUUAUUAUUAUUAUUUUUUUUUGCUCUGAAAUAUCAUUGAUGCGUUAGCUUUCUAGAUAAAGCCCAGCCCUUCCCCUCAAGCUACUAAUGAUUGACAGCAAUUGAAUAAAUGCCCUCUGUGAGUAAAACGAAAAUAUGUUACUUUUCUCUCGUUUGGUUUCCCCAGAAGUUAGAGAUGCUUAACUCUGAGCAGCCUUAUCAGAAUCUGAAACCUCUGCCAGAUGGAAGAAGUGAACGAUGCCGCCCACAAGCAGGAAGACCUGAGACCGGCUGGAACCACAAGGGUGAUUGUGCUGCCCCCCGAGACCUCAUCACGGACCCAAGAGAAGAGCGUCCUCGAGUUGAUCAGGAUCUGCUCCUUGAACACUAUAAGACUCCUCAAAACCCUCCACCAGACACACGGCCUUUUAUUUAUUUUAAUAUUUUAUUUUAUUUAUCUAUUUAUUUGGCUGCCUUGGUUCUCAUUUGCAGAUGCGGGAUAGCCCCUACCUCUGAUGGGAUCUUGCUUGUAGCGCAAAGCCUCACCAGCUGUGGGGCGAAGGCUCAGCUGCUCCUGGGCUGUGAGAUCUUAGAUUCCCCACCAGGAAUCAAACCCACGUCCACUGCAUUUCAAGGUGGACUCUAAACCACUGGACCACCACGGAAGUCCCAGGACACAGUCUUGAGGGCAUUAGCCUGCUUGGUCCCCCGUGUGUGGCAAAGCAGUUAAGUUAGUUUUUCCAUUUCACUUAAAAACUCUCUCUCUCAGAUGAAAUCUGGCCCCAGUACACAGAGGCCCAGUUUUGGCAAGGAGAUCUGCAGGGAAGCCAGGAGCAAUUAGAAGAACAGGGUCCUGGGGGUAGGAGGGCUGAGGGACCUGAGUCCCAGCGGGGUGGAAGGCUGCGAGGUACCAAACGGGACCUUCCAGAGGGGAGCCCUGAGGAGGUGUCCUGUGGGCAGCAGGGGCGGCGCCCGCACAGACGGGCUCCUGAUCUCAGCAGAGGGGCCAGAGGAACCCGGGCGGCCCCGAGAGGAGUCAGGGGCGCAGGGCCCGGGCGCCAGUCUUCAAGGGACAGAAUAGGGUCAGAACAGAGGGAAGGAGAAGCUCUGUGCCACGGAGGAGUCCCCGGAGUUUAAGGAUCACCCCGAGGGGAAGCUUGUGGACCAUGGUGUGGACUCCAAGAAGCUCUGUGCUUCGCAAGGCGGGGCUCCUCAGGAGGCUGGCGGUUCCAACAGUGCCAGAUGCACCUGAGGCCCCUAUUUGCCUCAAGGAGGGAAACUGGGAAUGCAGCCCCGCCCCUCCCCCACCAGAGUUAUUCCUCACCCUGACUUUCCCCUCCCAUCCCUCAGGGCAGUGCCCCUCUCUCCACCCCCUGCCCCCUAAACUCAUCCCCCAUCCCCGGCUUUUCUAGAUUCCGCUGGGCUCUGCACAGUCCUAGGCCUGCCCCAUCCUCGAUUCUCUGCCCCUCCCCGCUCUCCAGGUUCUAGAUUUCAGACACGCUGGGACCUGGGCUGCAGUGCUUCCGCGUGGACACACAUCUUCCCGAGCCACAGACAACAAGGAAACGACAAGGGACUCAAUAUACUUCUACAUACCUGAACAGCUUGGGCAAACGAUGCACGAGAUAAAAAAAGAAAAAAGAUCAAAACUCCAGUCACCCCUUCAGAGCUGGAGAGCAAAGAUGGGGUCUUGGACGUGAUGCCUGCACAGAGCAUCACCAAGAGGCUGGGCAGACCUGGCAGUCAGUCCUCCAGCCCAAUGCUGGACCCAGCCUGCCCUCACCCCACUUAAUGGACCAGAUUUCCCACACGCGCCCCGACACCUCCUUAUCCCCCAGAAGCAGACAAGGCAACUUGUCACCUGUUUGACUCCCUUCCUGAUGCAGCCAGAGCUCCAAUAAAACCUUGUCUGAAU
ensembl:lncRNA